AUUGAACGCUGGCGGAAUGCUUUACACAUGCAAGUCGAACGGCAGCACGGACUUCGGUCUGGUGGCGAGUGGCGAACGGGUGAGUAAUGUAUCGGAACGUGCCCAGUCGUGGGGGAUAACGUAGUGAAAAUUACGCUAAUACCGCAUACGAUCUAUGGAUGAAAGCGGGGGAUCGCAAGACCUCGCGCGAUUGUAGCGGCCGAUAUCAGAUUAGGUAGUUGGUGGGGUAAAGGCCCACCAAGCCAACGAUCUGUAGCUGGUCUGAGAGGACGACCAGACCAGCUGGAACUGAGCCAAGGUACAGACUCCUACGGGAGGCAGCAGUGGGGGAUUUUGGAAAAUGGGCGCAAGCCUGAUCCAGCCAUUACGCGUGCAGGAUGAAGGCCCUCGGGUUGUAAACUGCUUUUGUACAGAACGAAAAGGUUUCUACUAAUACUAGGAGCUCAUGACGGUACUGUAAGAAUAAGCACCGGCUAACUACGUGCCAGCAGCCGCAGUAAAAC
rnacentral:rRNA from 1 species